rnacentral:rRNA from 2 species
GUCCGAGCUUGAAAGAUGGCUUCGGCUAUCACUUUUGGAUGGUCCCGCGGCGUAUUAGCUAGAUGGUGGGGUAACGGCUCACCAUGGCAAUGAUACGUAGCCGACCUGAGAGGGUAAUCGGCCACAUUGGGACUGAGACACGGCCCAAACUCCUACGGGAGGCAGCAGUAGGGAAUCUUCCACAAUGGACGAAAGUCUGAUGGAGCAACGCCGCGUGAGUGAAGAAGGGUUUCGGCUCGUAAAACUCUGUUGUUAAAGAAGAACAUAUCUGAGAGUAACUGUUCAGGUAUUGACGGUAUUUAACCAGAAAGCCACGGCUAACUACGUGCCAGCAGCCGCGGUAAUACGUAGGUGGCAAGCGUUGUCCGGAUUUAUUGGGCGUAAAGCGAGCGCAGGCGGUUUUUUAAGUCUGAUGUGAAAGCCUUCGGCUCAACCGAAGAAGUGCAUCGGAAACUGGAAAACUUGAGUGCAGAAGAGGACAGUGGAACUCCAUGUGUAGCGGUGAAAUGCGUAGAUAUAUGGAAGAACACCAGUGGCGAAGGCGGCUGUCUGGUCUGUAACUGACGCUGAGGCUCGAAAGUAUGGGUAGCAAACAGGAUUAGAUACCCUGGUAGUCCAUACCGUAAACGAUGAAUGCUAAGUGUUGGAGGGUUUCCGCCCUUCAGUGCUGCAGCUAACGCAUUAAGCAUUCCGCCUGGGGAGUACGGCCGCAAGGCUGAAACUCAAAGGAAUUGACGGGGGCCCGCACAAGCGGUGGAGCAUGUGGUUUAAUUCGAAGCUACGCGAAGAACCUUACCAGGUCUUGACAUACUAUGCAAAUCUAAGAGAUUAGACGUUCCCUUCGGGGACAUGGAUACAGGUGGUGCAUGGUUGUCGUCAGCUCGUGUCGUGAGAUGUUGGGUUAAGUCCCGCAACGAGCGCAACCCUUAUUAUCAGUUGCCAGCAUUAAGUUGGGCACUCUGGUGAGACUGCCGGUGACAAACCGGAGGAAGGUGGGGAUGACGUCAAAUCAUCAUGCCCCUUAUGACCUGGGCUACACACGUGCUACAAUGGAUGGUACAACGAGUUGCGAACUCGCGAGAGUAAGCUAAUCUCUUAAAGCCAUUCUCAGUUCGGAUUGUAGGCUGCAACUCGCCUACAUGAAGUCGGAAUCGCUAGUAAUCGCGGAUCAGCAUGCCGCGGUGAAUACGUUCCCGGGCCUUGUACACACCGCCCGUCACACCAUGAGAGUUUGUAACACCCAAAGUCGGUGGGGUAACCUUUUAGGAACCUAGCCG